rnacentral:rRNA from 1 species
GGCGGACGGGUGAGUAAUGUCUGGGAAACUGCCUGAUGGAGGGGGAUAACUACUGGAAACGGUAGCUAAUACCGCAUAACGUCGCAAGACCAAAGAGGGGGACCCUCGGGCCUCUUGCCAUCGGAUGUGCCCAGAUGGGAUUAGCUUGUUGGUGGGGUAACGGCUCACCAAGGCGACGAUCCCUAGCUGGUCUGAGAGGAUGACCAGCCACACUGGAACUGAGACACGGUCCAG